AUCAACUUUCGAUGGUAGGAUAGAGGCCUACCAUGGUGGUAACGGGUAACGGGGUGUUAGGGCACGACACCGGAGAGGGAGCCUGAGAAACGGCUACCACAUCCAAGGAUGGCAGCAGGCGCGCAAAUUACCCAAUCCCGACACGGGGAGGUAGUGACAAUAAAUAACAAUACGGGGUUCUUUAGGAUCUCGUAAUUGGAAUGAGUACAAUUUAAAUCUCUUAACGAGGAACAAUUGGAGGGCAAGUCUGGUGCCAGCAGCCGCGGUAAUUCCAGCUCCAAUAGCGUAUAUUAAAGUUGUUGCAGUUAAAAAGCUCGUAGUUGAAUUUCGGGGUCAGUAGGUCGGUCGUGCCACUGGUAUGAACUGGUUUUACUGAUUCCUCCCUCUUGAAGAACUGUAAUGCCAUUAAUUUGGUGUUGCAGGGAAUCAGGACUGUUACUUUGAAAAAAUUAGAGUGUUUAAAGCAGGCUUUAGCUUGAAUACAUUAGCAUGGAAUAAUGAAAUAGGACGUUUGAUCCUAUUUUGUUGGUUUCUAGGAUUGACGUAAUGAUUAAUAGGGAUAGUUGGGGGCAUUAGUAUUCAAUUGUCAGAGGUGAAAUUCUUGGAUUUAUUGAAGACUAACUACUGCGAAAGCAUUUGCCAAGGAUGUUUUCAUUAAUCAAGAACGAAAGUUAGGGGAUCGAAGACGAUCAGAUACCGUCGUAGUCUUAACCAUAAACUAUGCCGACUAGGGAUCGGAUGAUGUUAAUUUUUUAAUGACUCAUUCGGCGCCUUACGGGAAACCAAAGUGUUUGGGUU
rnacentral:rRNA from 1 species